AGGAAAAAAGAAACAUCUGAGUAUCCUAAAAUAAAAUCAACCGAGUAAGGGAAAGUAUUGGCGAAAGAAAUCCUAAGACACUGCUUAACUCAAAUUUCAGGAGUAAAU
rnacentral:rRNA from 1 species